CUUAUGUUAGGUUUUUGUGGCUCGUGCCACAUUAACUCAGACUAGCGUAUGUUUGGAUUUAAAAUUUAGACAAAUACUAACUAUUCAAAACUUUGGUAGUUUAAAUUCAAAUCGAGUUGUGCCAUAGUCUUAAGAUUUAAAUCUAGGAUUAGUUGGUGUGCAAAAAUAAGAAUCGUGGAGUAAAUUAGAUAUUGCUUGGUGGAGGAAAAGAGAAUGAAGAUAUUUCUUCGAUUUUAACCUCAACCACCACACCCUUUAUUGUUCUGAGCAUCAGACACGUUUGUUCCCUGGAAACCACCGUAGCUCAUCCACUCAGCCAUACGCAGCAUGCCCAGGAUGCAAAGCUUAUCAGCCACGUCCCAACCAAACUCCUACACGCCAUCUUCUUCCCAGGCCGACGGCCUUAGCCUCCACGCCGGCUGUCCUUGCUCUGGUUUCUCCCCGGCUCCAGCUCGCCAGCCGCGCCCUCCCUGCUCGCCCAGCCAUCUCCUCGCCUCCAUGGCCGCUGCACCAGCCGAGUCCCUCCCCAUGUCAGCUGCAAGCACGCCGUGCUUCCUUCCCAUGGCCGUCUGCAGCUUCUUCCAUGGUGAGCUCCCUCCACUGCCCUAGGUUUCCAUGGCCGCCCCUCCCUCAUCUUCCUCCCCAAACUGAGCUCGCCCAGCCCCUCUCUGCUCCCUGGUUUCUCCCCACGCCAGCAGCCAUGGCACCUCCUUCCCCUGCUCGCCCUCCCUCUGUGCCCAGCCUCCUCUCUGUUCUUCCGUGGAGCAGUAGCCCUCCUCUAAUUCUGCAGCAGCAGCUUCCCCUUUUUCUUUUGUUCUCCAUGAAUGAAAGCCCAAGCGCCAGCCCCCUCCCUUUCGUCAAGUGAUUGGAAGAGAGUUCUAGGGAAAAUCAAUGGAGAAGAAACCGUGUUUCAGUUCGACGCGCUCUAGGUGUUUGAUGGAAUGGAUGAACCGAAGAUCCUUGUUGCUCUUGCGAAAUCUGAGUCUAUUUAGUGUUGGUACGCUAGCUGAAAAUCGUGCGAAGCGAAGGGUGUGGAUCAAAACAACCCACAAGACGAUGUCGGCCAAUGAGCCUGAAGAUGGAUGGACUAAGCGGAUGUCAAAACGAAAGUUGAUCGUCAAGUGGCCUUCAUCUAACAACACUAACAUAGUGUUUAUUUCAGGCAAGCCCCGGUGCAUUUGCCACCUCCUUGUUGUUUUAAAACUUUUAUCACUUAUAUGCUGCAUUAGGUGAUAGGAGUUGAGUGAUGAAACAGUUGAUGCAUUGCCAUUCCUUGGAAUUUGAUUAUCCUCCUUGAUACCUGUUUUACAAAAAGAACUAAUGAGGCUUAGCCCUGCCUAGAGAAUUAAAACUUGUUUCUUUUUAAAAGAAUGAUGUGUGACACUGGGUAUGGGUUUGUUUUA